GUGAGGUGGGAAGUCCUUGAGCUUUAUCUUUAUCAUUCUGCAUUGAUAGCUACCUCUAACAGAUUUAUUUGCAUCCAUUCAAGAGUUAUGACCAUGUUGCUUUAAAGUUAAGUAACACACAAAGAGAUAACAACUCUUUCACUUAAUUUGAAGCUUCGCGUUGACUACUAACCUCCCUUUAGAUACAGUUUUAACCCUAAUUUGCUUAGAAAGGCCUUGGGAUUUCCUUGUUGAACACUUUUGUGUGAACAUGCUAAGUUACUCAGUUAAGCUCGUGUUCCGUGCAAAAUCGCUCGUAUAUGAAAUAGGAGCUUUUCGCUCGGGCCUCGUUGCACUCGCUCGUCCGGUGCGAGUAUUUUAUC